AUCGCUUUUUUGCAUUUUGAUUGAGAUCAAGUUUAGCACUUGUUCUUAUCAGUUUAAUAUCCAAACAUUCUUUAUUUGGGAACACAAUGUUAGCUGGGUUUGGGGAACUUGGAAAAAUCAAGUAGGAGCUUGCUCUAUCCACUUAAUUCGUUGACCUAGUACUGCAUUAUUUCUAGUUAUAAUGUACCCCCC
ensembl:snRNA U2 U2 spliceosomal RNA